GUAAAAUAUGACUCUUUCAUAAAUUAAUUAUCAAGAGAACAUGUAACAAAAUGAAGUAGAAGUAGAUGUACAUAGAACUAUUGGAGAAAGGAAGAAACAAAAACAAAAGAGCGCAUACAGAUAUGUAAGAAAAAACAAGAAGAAAUAAGACUAAAGUGAUUCAAAAGGGGGGGAGAGACGGAAAACGCGAGACGUGUUGGUUUUCAGUAUCUCAGCGUUAUGUAUUCUGCACACAACACUGUACUAAUGUGGGGUAGGUAGUUAUCCAAUUGACAGUGCCCGCGCGUCUGACAUACAUAGUUCGGUCACAACGGUGAACGCAACAGGAUGAUCGUCUCGUCUGCUGAAUGCGUAGUCGAUCAGUAGAUAUUUUCUUAAACUUACCGCGUGAAUAUUCUUGCUCUUUUCCCGAAAUGGUUCUAAUGUUAUUUCGCACUUUCGACAAAGUUUUCGUGUUGCGGUAAUAAAAAAUACAAAAAAAAAAGAGAAAGGGAGGGGAACAAGGAGAGAAAUAUAAGAACACGAUACAUGUCGUAAAUUAUAACACGAGGAUCAUGUCGGUCCAACGAGCAUAUUGGGUUGCGACGAUUGGUAUUUUUAUUUACGCGAUGAGAAUGAACCCAGGUUGAUGUUGUAAUAUUAUCAGUGAAGUUUUUUUUACGAAUUUCGAGGAUUCUGCUGGCAACGUGAUUACUCGUGUGGUUUUUAGAAAAAAAAGAAAAGAAAAACAGGAAAAACGUUUGUGAAAAGACGAGUUUCCAGUUUUAUUUCUGGAAUAUCCAUGAGCCGGAAUGUUACACUGAUGCUAUGGCAGCCGAUCUCUAUGCAAAUAACUCUGUAAAAUCAACGUCCAGGUCCGUGGGCGGUAUGGGGCAACGCAAGUCAGAUGUACCGGACGGCACGGCACCUGUAUCGACGGAGCAGGAGCAGCUAAAGUUUCAAAACAGUCGAUUCUUGACAACUCUAGUACUUGGCAGAAAUAGGAAAAUCUCGCCGGAUGUGCUGCCGUCCUGCUCGCCCGGCGUGUUCCGGCAAAAGUCGUUUCGCUCAUUCAUUCCGCUACAGCCGGAGGCGUUUACACCAACGACAGUGGCAUCAUCGACUUUACAGGACGGCCAAAGCGCAGCACCUGUGCUCGCGGCCAACGAUCGCUGCGACUCUCACGUAACCACCCCUACUAUCGUCGCCAUCGCCACUGUCUCCGCUGCUUCAGUUGCUUCACCACGUGACGGUGGAUCGCUGGUCGCCGGCAGCACUUUGCUGUCGUUAUCGCGGGGUACUCGUGCAGCCAGCAGGCACACGCGUCUCGGUCCGGCACUGGCUAGCAAAAUGGCGUCUGCGAGCUCGUCCACGGUCGUGCAGGGCUGGCCGAAUACCAAGGACGACUAUGAGCUCAAGGAGGUUAUUGGGGUUGGAGCGACCGCCGUAGUGCAUGCAGCAUUUUGCAUUCCGCGACAAGAAAAAUGCGCGAUCAAAAGAAUAAACUUGGAAAAAUGGAAUACGAACAUGGAUGAGCUACUGAAAGAGAUACAAGCAAUGUCUUCGUGCAACCACGAGAACGUCGUGACGUAUUAUACAUCGUUUGUGGUGAAAGAAGAGCUUUGGUUAGUUCUGAGACUAUUGGAGGGUGGAUCCUUGCUGGAUAUUAUCAAGCAUAAAACCAGGACAACCAAUUGCAAACACGGAGUAUUCGAUGAGGCGACUAUAGCGACGGUGCUUCGAGAGGUACUCAAAGGGCUUGAAUAUUUCCAUAGUAAUGGACAGAUUCACAGGGACAUAAAAGCGGGUAAUAUCCUACUAGGCGAGGAUGGCACGGUACAGAUCGCUGAUUUCGGUGUUAGCGCGUGGCUCGCGACUGGACGUGAUUUAAGUCGGCAGAAGGUCCGACACACCUUUGUCGGUACACCGUGUUGGAUGGCGCCCGAGGUCAUGGAGCAGGUGAGAGAGGACCAUGGCUAUGAUUUUAAGGCUGAUAUAUGGUCACUUGGCAUCACAGCGAUCGAGAUGGCCAGCGGUACGGCGCCGUACCAUAAAUAUCCUCCUAUGAAAGUUCUGAUGUUGACGUUGCAAAACGACCCGCCAACUCUAGACACUGCUGCGGAUGACAAGGAUCAGUACAAAGCUUAUGGAAAGACAUUCCGAAAAAUGAUCGUCGAUUGCUUACAAAAAGAUCCUACCAAAAGACCAACGGCCACCGAACUACUAAAGCACCCGUUUUUUAAGAAAGCUAAAGAUAAGAAAUAUCUACAGCAGACGUUAGUAGCAAUUGGACCUAGUUUAGAAACACGUGUACAAAAGGCAUCAAAAAGACAACCUGGUACGUCGGGACGUUUGCAUCGAACAGUGACCGGAGAAUGGGUCUGGUCGUCGGAGGAAGAGGACAGCGGUGGUUCGAGCGGCGACGAAGGUGCCAAGGAGACAUUACCAGUCAAUACUAUCGAGAAGGCUAGCAGCGACGAGGAAACUGGCGAACCUGAUGAGUAUUACGGUCAAAUCAAGGUAGCGCCGAGUCAACUCGCCAUACAAACUACCGAGCAAAAUGUUCCUAUAAACUUGGUGCUCAGAUUACGAAAUGAAAGACGGGAGCUGAAUGAUAUUAGAUUUGAAUUUACUGUCGGAGUGGAUUCCGCGCAAGGAAUUGCGGCAGAGCUGGUCGCUGCGGGUUUGGUUGAUGGCAAGGAUGUUGUGGUAAUAGCCGCAAAUUUAAAAAAGCUGAUUGAAAGUGCAGGACAAUUGCGAACGGUAACCUUUUCGUUGAAUUCCGGUUACGCGGCGAAUGAAAUACCAGAUGACAAAGCGUUAAUAGGAUUUGCUCAGAUCUCCCUGACCGAUUAAGACCAGCCUUAAUUAAAAGUUCUGAACUCUCAGGAUUCAACGUUCUCUUAAUUGACAUACACGCGCCAUCUAUCCAUUAAGAUCCAGAGGGUACCAAAAGCUAUAUAAAUUGAAUUGGCUGAACGCUCUGUAUUUCUUAAGGUAUAAUACUUGGCGUGCAACGUAUCAGCAUGUAAGUGAGUCUGAUCGCUGAAUGUUUACCAGCAGAUCAUAGCUCUUGAUACCCUUUGUUUCUUUCAGAUUCUAACGGUAUAAAGUGUCGAUUGCAGGGUAUAGGUAUCGAAACAACUAUUUCUUACAACGCAUCAAUAGUAAAGAAACUGCUCAAGCGUACGUCUAAUGACAUUAACAAUAUCAGAUAUUAACUGGUUUCGUCUAUUGACCUUUCGCAGUGGAACUCUAGUAUCUCUCACUCUGAACCUGCGUCUUCUAUAUUGAUUACCAUUGUGCGAGGAACAGAAACACGAAUUACGCAGGCAUCGUCGGUAAAAUCGUGGGUGGUAGAUGAAAUUCUCUAUGACAACACGUUAUGUCCAUCUAUGACACGUUAUUACGUUUCGUUUUUCUUCGAUUUAUUCCUCCUCGUGCGAUAGUGACCAAUGUAAGAGAAAACAAGCUUUAUGUUGAAGGUAUUAGACCGUUGAUGAAAGGUAAUAUAUUAAUACAAUAAACGCAAUCGGAUUGAAACACACGAUCGUACAUUUCAUAUCCGGGAGGGGGGGUACUCAAAUGAAAUCCAUAAUCAAUACACGCAUACUGGGCUUAAGGAUAUACACUUGCUCUAUUCAAUAAUAGUAAUGUAAUUUCACGUAAUUCAAGUGUAUUAUCCAUAUUAAAUCAAUCUAUGUAAAUAUUUCAAUGCGACCGUUUGUUUAGUUUUCUUUGUUUCUUUAUAAUUUAUAAGUAUAGGUAUAUAUCAAAUGGGAUAAGGACACAUAUGCGAACUUAUUAGAAGAUUGAAAGAGGAAACGCUCGAUAGUCUAACUUAUUUGUUGCAAACGUAGUUUCUCUUAUAGCAAAAGGUUUUAGUGGCAUAAACAAAUUGAAUAUCCUACACAGAAUUUUUCUGUUUAUCAUAUAUAUAUAGGUUAUAUUCGCACGUGCAUUUUAUAUCGCUUUAUAUAUGCAUAUUAUUAGUGACCCUCUAAUAAGAGUCUGGCCAUAGAGCGAUUUGGUCAAAAUCGUGCGAGAGAAAAAGAUAUACAUAUUCGUUAAGAAUACGCUCACGCACGCGCUACAGAUAGUCCACGAUACAUUUCCAAAUCGCUCUAUGGCCAGACUCUUAUUAGAGGGUCUCUACAUAUUAUACAUACUUUAUACUAUGAACAGAAGGUAGAAAAUAUCAGAAUAAAAUAAAAUAAAACAUUUUUGUACUUAAUUAGGUAGAUUCUUAUAAUAGUGAAUCAAUAUGUUCAGUUUUAAAUGCAGCAAGGGAGAGAGAGAGAGAGAAAUAUAAAAAUUUGUCAAAAUUUUUAUCUCUCGCACAUAUGUACAUUUUGAACAUUACUGAAUUAAAUCAUUCUUUUAAAUAAAAUCGUGAAAUGGUUUAAAUCAGAAUCACGUGCGAUCGCUAAACGAUUGAUACAAAACAAUUUGUACUUUGCAGUUUCACAAAGAGAUUAAGUGUUCAUCAUUUUUAUAUUUAUAUAUCUGUUAGAAAUCAGAAUAUAUGUUUGCAAUGUUAUUAUCGUUUGUUUGCUAAAACUAUUGAACCAAAAUAGAUUGUAUGUAAUUUAGUGUCGAAAAACGAAAUUUUGUAGAAGAAAGAAGGAAACAAAAAGAAACAUAUGGUUCUUAAUAAAAUAUAUUUUUGAAUAGCGUCUUUCUUAUGAAUUUCUUUUUUAAUUAAAUUAAGGGAAAAUAUUCAUAUUUCAAUAAAUGCUUUAUAAAUGAGUAUAUUAAUUAGAAAUAGUAUGUAUGGAAAAGGAGGGAAGAAUAGGAAAUUGAUAAGAAAUCAAAUCACAAAUACAUUUAAACGUUGAAAGUGUAUUAUCGACUUUUACUUUAACUAUACUGAUUAUGCAUGAUAAAAGACGUUUCAUAGUUCCUGCUAUUUAACAAAUAAUGUAAACGUGUCUCUACUUUUAUAAAAUUAUACUAAUCUUUUAUCGUUAAUUAAGGAUGUUUCCAAUGUUACAUUUUUGCAUGUGAUUCCGUUUUUCUGUUGCCACAUGCAAUAGCUAUGUACGCGCGCGCACAUACACAUAUUAACAUAUAGUAUACAACAAAGUAUAUAUUUGAAUAUGAAAAUAAAAUAUUUGCUACGUAAAAUCACUUGUAGCAGCGAUCGAAAUACAAUACAGAUUGGUUUAUACUUUAUAUAAACGUGAUAGUAUCGAAUUGUGUGAGUAACUAAAUCGUAUAGAGACCUUUAUACUAUCAAUUUUGGCUUCUAGUAGAUUGGAGUCGUGUUUUUUGUCAUUUUUGUUUCGAUAUCUCAUAAACAUUUUCACUUCAUCAGUGAGACAAGUAACCUGAUACUGUAUCAAGAACGAAAAUGAUGAACGAAAAACGCGGCUCCAAUCCGAAAGCCAAAUCUGAUAGUAUUAACAUCAACGAACAGCGUGAAAGGCUGAAAUUUUUCAUACAGCAAGAAGGAUCGCAGUUACUAAAAUGAUCAUUGUAUGGUAGUUUUGAUUGAAAUUAGUUUUUCAUGAAUAUAAUUAUAUAUUCAGGUACGACAUUCAUAGUUCGAUCUUAGAAUCUGAAGAUUAUUACGUGUUUAAUCCUAAGACACAUUAAUAAAGCUUCUGAUCGGCUAAUGAUAUCUUAAGAGCAUAUAUCAAGAGACAAUUUUGUACAAGGUAAGAUCGGAUUAUGAAUAGCGUCCAGUGUCCGUUAGCGCUUAGAAUUUCCGCCAAUAGAAAACUUGAUAAGAAAUAAUCGCUUCGUUCUAGCUAUAUCGUCACUAUGUGCCUUAUCCUGAAAGCAUUAUCAUAUGAUUACGUCGAAAUUUACGCUUUUCUUUUGCUGAAUGCUGAAUUCUAAUAACCCGGACAACGACCGAAAUUUUUCAAACUUAAUGUGAUUAAGACAAUGGCAAAUAAAAUAAAGAGCACUGUGCGAUUAAAUGUAAUAAAAAACAAUAAUUUAUUUGUACAAUUAAUAUCAAAAGUCACUUUGACAAUAAUAAUUAUUGUACUUGAUUUCACGGCAAAGAAUAUUGUAACGUUUAUAUAAGCGAGUUAUGAUACAGCUAGAUUUAGAAAGUAUGGAUAAUAGUACUUAAUGAUAAAAAUGAUAACAAUUUUUUGAAUAAUAUGGAAUUUGUUUCAUAGUCUUUAGAGUGAGAUUGUUCUUUUAUUAUCCAUCUUCUAUUAUCCAUUGAAUUUCUAACUGAAUAAAAUGUUACUCUUUAUAAUUGAUGCAGUUUUUCAAACUAUAGUCUUAGGCAUUGCGUCUAUAUCCUACAUGCUAUUCGUAAAUAUUAUAAAUUUCUUUUUUCACAUUCGCAUAAUUACUUAUGUAUAUACAUGAAAGAAAGGAAAUAAUAAAUCUCGAUCUGAAAUGUUUAGGAAAGCGAGAUAAGAACGAGCCUUGAAAAUGUGUUACACACAUGUGUGUAUAUUUGAUGUAGUAUCGCUGACGAAAAAUCGUGUUAACUCUCUUUUUUCUUCCUUUUGUUGCAUCACACAAUACUCGUAUAUAGUUAUAUGGUAUGUUAGCAAAAUUAUGAUCGUGUAAAACUAAAACUAAAUUUUCUUUCAUUGAAAACAAAAGAUGGAACAUUUUGUGAUGUUAUUUAUUCCAAGCCAUACUUUUAUUCCACAACUUCAAUCAAUUUGUUUGUAUAAUUGUUGAAAUCACUGCGAUUUUCUAUAUCUGUUUUAUCGAUGAUUUUUUUGUACAAAAUGGUUUGGGUUAGAUUAGAGAUGGAGUGCGCAUGCCUAAAGUCAGCCAGUAGUACAGUACCGCCAUCUGACCUUUUCAGCAUGUUACUGCAUCUAAAAUUGUUGUAAAUUGCGUAAAGAUAUUAAUAAUAUGUACAAGAUAAAUAAGAAAUAAAUAUAGAAAAUUUGAGAAUCAGCAUGCGUGAAAACUUUGAUGGUACGACACAGUGCAGUAGUACGAUAUAAACAGUACGUUAGAUGGUUAUGAUAGAUUUUCUAACCUCACAAAAUGUUUUUAAUCAAGAAAAAGCUACCAAAUGAGUCUACGUGAAAGUUUGAGAUAAAAGAAUUCAACCUUGUAUUUACUGGUCUCACUCGUGUAGAAAAGAGUGAAA
rnacentral:misc_RNA from 1 species